rnacentral:rRNA from 1 species
CCUACGGGGUGCAGCAGUGGGGAAUAUUGGGCAAUGGGCGCAAGCCUGACCCAGCAACGCCGCGUGAAGGAAGAAGGCUUUCGGGUUGUAAACUUCUUUUAUCAGGGACGAAGCAAGUGACGGUACCUGAUGAAUAAGCCACGGCUAACUACGUGCCAGCAGCCGCGGUAAUACGUAGGUGGCAAGCGUUAUCCGGAUUUACUGGGUGUAAAGGGCGUGUAGGCGGGAGUGCAAGUCAGAUGUGAAAACUAUGGGCUCAACCCAUAGCCUGCAUUUGAAACUGUACUUCUUGAGUGCUGGAGGGGAGAUGGGAAGUCCGGGUGAAGGGGUGAAGGGAGUAGAGAUACGGAGGAAGAGGAGGGGGGAGGG